UACAGGUUUGUUAACUGAAAUUCAGUGUAAAUCUAAACGGCUAAGGAAAAAUGUGAAGCAGCAUGCGGAUCAGACAGUGAAUGAGGACAGCGAAGGGCGUGACUUGCGGCAAGUGACCUCCACGACCAAGCUAUGCAGGGAGAAAACUGAACUCACUGUAGACCAGCAGACCCUCCUGGAUUAUAUUAUGGACUCAUACAGCAAACAGAGAAUGCCACAGGAGAUCACAAAUAAAAUCUUAAAAGAAGAAUUUAGUGCAGAA
rnacentral:lncRNA from 1 species